rnacentral:misc_RNA from 1 species
GAUGAAGAACGCAGCGAAAUGCGAUAAGUAAUGUGAAUUGCAGAAUUCAGUGAAUCAUCGAAUCUUUGAACGCACCUUGCGCCCCUUGGUUAUUCCAAAGGGCAUGCCUGUUUGAGUAUCAUGAACACCUCAACUCUUGUGGUUUCCCACAAUGAGCUUGGACUGUGGAGGUUUUGUUGGCCCUGUGGUCAGCUCCUCUCAAAUGGAUCAGCUUACCGGUGUUUGGUGGCAUUACGGGUGUGAUAACUAUCUACGCUCGUGGUCGUCUCCAAAUAACCUCCAGUGAUGGAGGUUCGCUGGAGCUUAUAAAUGUCACUCCCCAGUGAAGACAGCCUUUGAACGUUCGAUCUCAAAUCAGGUAGGACUACCCGCUGAACUUAAGCAUAUCAAUAAGCGGAGGA